rnacentral:lncRNA from 1 species
AUGAAUGCCUUCAGGAGCCCCACACCUCUGGAGUUGGGCUCUGCCAGAACAAUGUGCUGUCUGCAUGGGGACAGGAGGCUGCUGGGUUCGGGGUGGAGAAUGCGCUGCUCUGGUGUGAUCGCCUGCCAAAGAGGUUGUCUUAGUCUUUGCUCUCAGCAUUGGUGCACUUGUAAUAUACUUCAUAGAUUCGUCAAAGUGAGUAUUCAAUAUGUUUUCUUGCCCUCUUUUCUAAAACAAUCACAAACUUUUACACUGAUCUUUAACACCAGCCUUUGGAAAAGCCUCCUUGAGUGUGGAAGACUUUUGGAGGAAGGCAGGGCUGUCUGUGUUAAUUUUCUGAACGGGAAAGCAAGCUCUCAUGAGAAAGAUUACUUUGAUUAUACUGUCCUAGGAGGGUGAGAGAGGAAUCUGGGGUCAUCAAGCUUUUUCGCUGGCUGUUACUGCUUUUAAAAUAGCUGUUUCCUGGUGCAGUAUUUGCGCUGAAGGUGGAAAGAAGUCAAGAGGGCUCUGAUGUGAAUUUGCAACCUCUGAGAGGGUCAUGGUGUCCAACCAGUGAGGGCAUGAGCCAUGCUUGCCGUGGCGGUUUAGAAUCCUUUCCUUAUUAGGGUUGCCAAUGCCUUACUCUUCUUGGAGGUCAGCUUAGAAAGCAUGAUGCCAUCCUUUGCACUGGUAGUUGAAUAUUCAACUGAAGCAUCGCUGGCUGGUGCUUCUUGACCUGUGAAGGUAAGGAGACGGGACAGAGGAGUUUGUGUUAACUCCCAGAGUGGAGGCCCAUGGCUAUCUGAGAAUUCCUAGAGUGGACGCUCAUGCAGACGCCUGGGAUGCCAGCUGAGGGGACUGGUGCUCUGGGUGGGGUCUGUCUGUGUCACACAGAGAAAAGGUUUUGUUUGAGGCAGAAGAGGGCGCUGAGCAAAGCUGCUCAGUGGUGGCCAGUUCUGCCCUGGUUCCUGCAGGUGUCGCCCCCACUCCCACUGGUACGUCAUUUGUUGCAAUUGUUCCGUUGCAGGCUUGAAAUUGACAGCAUCUGGGAAACUGGAGCUGAGCUGGUUUGACUCCCUUCUGUGGGGACAUGAGCCUGACACCUGAUGGUGGCCUUAGGCUCUUUGUCUGCAUUGUCCACUGUGAGAGUGUUUUUGAUUCCCUGAACUCUCAGCCUAGUACGCCUCGGUGCUAGAGUUUGAUCUGAGGAAACCUACUUGGUGUCCCUUUUGGCUCAGAGCCUGGUGUGCCUGAAUUCUGAGCUUAGUGUUCUUUUUCUGUGGCUCGGGAUGGU